GACGAACGCUGGCGGCGUGCUUAACACAUGCAAGUCGAACGGAAAGACCCUGCUUUUGUGGGGUGCUCGAGUGGCGAACGGGUGAGUAACACGUGAGUAACCUGCCCUUGACUUUGGGAUAACUUCAGGAAACUGGGGCUAAUACCGGAUAGGAGCUCCUGCUGCAUGGUGGGGGUUGGAAAGUUUCGGCGGUUGGGGAUGGACUCGCGGCUUAUCAGCUUGUUGGUGGGGUAGUGGCUUACCAAGGCUUUGACGGGUAGCCGGCCUGAGAGGGUGACCGGCCACAUUGGGACUAAGAUACGGCCCAGACUCCUACGGGAGGCAGCAGUGGGGAAUAUUGCACAAUGGGCGGAAGCCUGAUGCAGCAACGCCGCGUGCGGGAUGACGGCCUUCGGGUUGUAAACCGCUUUCGCCUGUGACGAAGCGUGAGUGACGGUAAUGGGUAAAGAAGCACCGGCUAACUACGUG
rnacentral:rRNA from 1 species